UUGAGCUCUCGAAAAAUCCAAAAUCUUCCUGGCGAUUUCGCCUUCCCGGCACCCAAGCCGACAGCCAUCAUUUUAUCAUCUCUCGUAAUUUUCGCCGCGUGUCGGUCGACAGACCGCCGCGCGUGCUCUGACUGCGUGCCGCAAUCGCCGCUGGCGUCCCCUUUCUUUUUCUCUUUUUCCUACCAUUUUUUCCUUUUUUCUUUUUCUUUCUGUCUUCCUCUUUUUCCUUCCUUCUUCUUCCAUCUUCCUCCUUCCUUCUUCCUCCUCCUUCUCC
rnacentral:lncRNA from 1 species